CUACGGGUCGCUCCAGUGAGGAAUAUUGCGCAAUGGGGAGAACCCUGAUGCAGCAACGCCGCGUGGAGGAUGACGCAUUUCGGUGUGUAAACUCCUUUUAUAUGUCAAGAAAAUGACGGUAGCAUAUGAAUAAGCACCGGCUAACUCCGUGCCAGCAGCCGCGGUAAUACGGAGGGUGCAAGCGUUACUCGGAAUCACUGGGCGUAAAGGACGCGUAGGCGGGUUGGAAAGUCAGGUGUGAAAUCCUACAGCUUAACUGUAGAACUGCACUUGAAACUUCUAAUCUAGAGUAUGGGAGGGGGAGAUGGAAUUAGUGGUGUAGGGGUAAAAUCCGUAGAUAUCACUAGGAAUACCUAAAGCGAAGGCGAUCUCCUGGAACAUUACUGACGCUAAGGCGUGAAAGCGUGGGGAGCAAACAGGAUUAGAUACCCCGGUAGUC
rnacentral:rRNA from 1 species